rnacentral:lncRNA from 1 species
CCAGAGUGACUUUCUACAGAACUGCAGGAUCAUGAAACUGAAAAGGGCCCAUGGAGAUCAUCAGUUCUGGCUUCCCGCCUUCAGGCAGGUCUAACCUUUAUAGAAUAGUUGCUGUGGAGGAAAUUGAACCAAACUUACUUUUAUAUGUUAUUCUUGUGAUAGUAUCUCUGUUGAGCAUUCGAUUAAGAAAUGGGUUUGAUGAAUCAGAAACCUGGAGGAGAAAAGAAAAUAUUAAUGACUGGGCAUCACUCUUGCAGGACAAACAUCUCCCCGUGACAUUCACUUAUUCAUUCAUAGUUACUGAGUAUCUACCAUGAGCCAAACACAAUGACAGCUGCAAAUUCAGAGAGCAAAGCCAGAGUCCCUAUUCUCAAGGACAGCCCAGUCUAGAGAGGAAGACAGGUCCUCUUUUCUUGCCCCUGCUGGGAAGCUAUCUCUGGUUCUAGAGCAGAAGGCCAUCACAGAAACUCAGCCAAACAGUAAAUUGGAGGUGAGGUUUUCACCAGGACCAUGAAGACUUCACUUCUUCAAUCGGGUAACUUCCCAAAGAAGUAUUUUCCUACUUUAGAGAUGUGGAAGGAUUGGGAGCUGCUACUCAAGAUGAUCUUACACAUGCACUGAAUGGUUUGAGCAUCAUUCUUAUCAUUGAUUAAGGGGCUGGAUCAACGGCUGGACUUCAGGCAUGGUCAGAAGGAAAAAGGAGCCUAUAAUUGGCCAUUUCUUGGCUGGGUCAUGACCACAGCAAGGGCAUAGAUGUUUAAUAGGCAGUGUAAGGUUACAAUUCCAAAUAUGCAUUAACUGAACCCAUCAAUGAUAUCUAGCGGGGACAACGGGAGGACUUGAGGACAAUUGAUGAUGGUAAGUCAUUUGACAAAAAUAGGGCCUGAAAAAAUACAAAUUUUGGUUCUAUAUCUUUUGAAAAAUAUCACUCCUUAGUUGUCACUUAAGCCUAGGACCAAAGGCUAGCUAGCUUCCCUAAUCACUAGGCUUACUUACUAGAGCAAAGGGUAGAGUGUGGGUACAGGCAUCUGUUGUUAUCUUGCCCAGCAUAUAUUUAUUUAUCCCUCUUCCCUUGGUAACAGCACCCUUCCUUUCCUUUGAAUAACUGUGCCUACUGCAUUUCCAUAUGGCCCUGGGGGGCACCAAUCCUGGUACCCUGUUCCUGGGUAGGUUCAUGACCUUACAGGUUGGCCAGACUCAGUCUCCCAGGAAUCUGAAUUAUAGGUGGAGUGAAAUAUGAAUGGAAGGUGAAUGAAGACAAGUCAAUUUGAUGGCAGUUCUCAGAAAGAAUGAAUCGGAGA